rnacentral:tRNA from 1 species
GCCGGGGUGGCGGAACGGUAGACGCUGCGGACUUAAAAUCCGCUGGGGGGUAAUCCCCCGUACGGGUUCGAGUCCCGUCCCCGGCACCA